rnacentral:tRNA from 1 species
GUAGUGAUAGCUCACUGGUUGAGAGCACUGGUUCCAGAGAGCCUGGGUUCAAUUCCUAGCACUUACU